rnacentral:rRNA from 1 species
GACGAACGCUGGCGGCGUGCUUAACACAUGCAAGUCGUACGGUAAGGCCCUUUCGGGGGUACACGAGUGGCGAACGGGUGAGUAACACGUGAGUAACCUGCCCACAACUUUGGGAUAACGCUAGGAAACUGGUGCUAAUACUGGAUAUGUGCUCCUGCUGCAUGGUGGGGGUUGGAAAGCUCCGGCGGUUGUGGAUGGACUCGCGGCCUAUCAGCUUGUUGGUGGGGUAGUGGCCUACCAAGGCGGCGACGGGUAGCCGGCCUGAGAGGGUGACCGGCCACAUUGGGACUGAGAUACGGCCCAGACUCCUACAGGAGGCAGCAGUGGGGAAUAUUGCACAAUGGGCGCAAGCCUGAUGCAGCAACGCCGCGUGCGGGAUGACGGCCUUCGGGUUGUAAACCGCUUUCAGCAGGGACGAAGCUUUUUGUGACGGUACCUGCAGAAGAAGCACCGGCUAACUACGUG